AGAAAACGUUGUCCCUUUCGACGCCACCGAACAUCCUUAAAGCAAGUGCGUGUACAUGUGGGCCAAGGAGGAUAACAAAACAAUAUUUUUAGAUACUUUUUUAAUUAAUAAGAAUAAAUUAUUUAUAUUUUAUUAGGAAAUAAUGAAAUUCACAUUCAUACAGUACAGAUCUAAUAAAUUAUUGUACCAAAAAACAAACAUCUAUUUAGAAAAUCUUAUCUUCUAAAUGGAUCACACACCUCAAAUAGAUACAUUUGAAAAAAA
rnacentral:lncRNA from 1 species